CCCCUAGAUGUUCUGGGCCGCACGCGCGCUACACUGAACAGUUCAACAAGUCUUAACCUUGGCCGAUAGGUCUGGGUAAUCUUUGAACGCUGUUCGUGAUUGGGAUAGACCUUUGCAAUUAUGGGUCUUCAACGAGGAAUUCCUAGUAAACCCAAGUCAUCAGCUUGCAUUGAUUACGUCCCUGCCCUUUGUACACACCGCCCGUCGCACCUACCGAUUGAAUGGUCCGGUGAAAUCUCGGGACGGCGGCUUGGUCGCUUGCGUCCGACUGCUGAAACUUGAUUAAACCAUAUCAUUUAGAGGAAGGUGAAGUCGUANCA
rnacentral:rRNA from 1 species